CAAUGUUACAGCUCUUUUAGAAUUUGUCUAGCAAAUAUUCUGGGUUUUUUUCUGGAAAACCCCU